AGUAAAUUGUUAGUAAACAUAGUGAAGAAGAUUUUGUUUUCGAGAAUAUUUAGUUUUGACAUUUCAGACAGACGAUUUUGUGAUCAGUGAAGUAUUUAGUUUUUACUUGUAUAUUUGGUUUAUCGAGAUCCAGUGUGUAAUAGAAGUGUGCCCUUCAUUUUUUCAGCAGUAUAUAUAAGGUGAUAAGUAUUAAAGUUCGAGGGUUGUUUAAGUUAAAUCCGGAGUUAAAUGUGAGCGCGCUUCCUAUUGGCUGCGCCGAUGGCGCUCGUAGUAGCAUUUGAAACGUUGAGAGUGCCCCUGUGACAACAAGCUUGGCCCCCGUAAAUGUGGAGUGUAAAAUAAUUUUCAUAAAACUGUUUUUUUUGCAAUCGUUGUGUUUUACAUCCGUUAUUAGACAGUGGCAACGCGGAACAGAAAUAUAACCCACACAUUUUCUAGAGGGACUGCUUAAAGCGGAACACAACAGUAUCGUAGGACAUUCAUCCGCAGGUUUUUACUACUCAGAAGUUGGUGAAAGUUUUGCGCGAAUAUUAUAAUUGAAGACUUCAAGCAAAGAAGGAAAUAUAGAGGCAAGUAAAGUUGCAUAGAUAUCAGCAAAUCCCAGGAAGAUCCACCUAGGCAGCCAAUGAUGAAUAUAUACCCAAGAACUGUGAUGGGGGACCGGAUGACAGAUUGAGCAAUUUAGGUGUUCUAAGUAUUGAGUCAAGGAGGGCAAAGGCCUUAAAUCUAGAUGAAUUUGCUGAUCUUUUUGCAAAAAAACCCCACAAAAAUCAUAGAAUACAGUUACUGUGACUGAUACUGAAUAUGUAAUGCAAAUGUAAAAAAUAAAAUUGAAAUGCACAUA